rnacentral:rRNA from 1 species
GACGAACGCUGGCGGCGUGCCUAAUACAUGCAAGUAGAACGCUGAAGGAGGAGCUUGCUUCUCUGGAUGAGUUGCGAACGGGUGAGUAACGCGUAGGUAACCUGCCUGGUAGCGGGGGAUAACUAUUGGAAACGAUAGCUAAUACCGCAUAACAGUAGAUAUUGCAUGAUAUCUGCUUGAAAGGUGCAACUGCAUCACUACCAGAUGGACCUGCGUUGUAUUAGCUAGUUGGUGAGGUAACGGCUCACCAAGGCGACGAUACAUAGCCGACCUGAGAGGGUGAUCGGCCACACUGGGACUGAGACACGGCCCAGACUCCUACGGGAGGCAGCAGUAGGGAAUCUUCGGCAAUGGACGGAAGUCUGACCGAGCAACGCCGCGUGAGUGAAGAAGGUUUUCGGAUCGUAAAGCUCUGUUGUAAGAGAAGAACGAGUGUGAGAGUGGAAAGUUCACACUGUGACGGUAUCUUACCAGAAAGGGACGGCUAACUACGUG